UCCUGAAGAAGCACGAGGCCCUGAUGUCGGACCUGUCGGCUUACGGCAGCAGCAUCCAGGCCCUGAAGGAGCAGGCCCAGUCCUGCAGGGACCUGAAGGCCAACGAGUCCCGCCUGAGGGACAUCAACAAGGUGGCAUCUGAACUGGAGUCAGAAGGUCUGAUGGCUGAGGAGGCUAUGGUUCAGGCUCAGCAACAAAAACAUCUGGGUUCUGCUCCUGGAAAGGUGCAUGUUGUCCUCCGCCUCCACCAGAACCAGACGUGGUGUUUAUGUUACCACUCAUUUGUUUGUUUGUUUGUUUGUUUACAGGAUGAAGCCGACUCUAACACGGCGUCACCCUGGAAGGUGAGUUCAUUCAGCUGAUCAGAGGUCACCUCUGAUGGCAGCAGUCACGGCCGACCGUGCUGACAUCACACAGGAAUUCAGACCGUACGGUUGGGCGUUCAGACGACGGCUAACUUUAAUUCCAUCAAGGUAAGAGGAAGCUCUUCCCUUCCUGUCUGAGCGAUCCGUCUCCAGGUUUCUUCGUCCGGCGUCCAGCCCGCUGGCGUCCACCUUCAUCUCACCUUCAUCUCAUCUCACUUCAUUUAUAGUGCAAUACUUUCACAUUAUCAUUUUCCCACACUUCUGUAUACCUGUAUUUUUUUGUUUUUCAAUAAAGAAUGACAAAUUA